UACGUAGGUGGCAAGCGUUGUCCGGAUUUACUGGGCGUAAAGAGCGCGCAGGCGGUCGUUCAAGUCGCGUGUGAAAGCCCCCGGCUCAACUGGGGAGGGUCACGCGAUACUGAUCGACUCGAAAGGCAGGAGAGGGUAGUGGAAUUCCCGGUGUAGUGGUGAAAUGCGUAGAUAUCGGGAGGAACACCAGUGGCGAAGGCGACUACCUGGCCUGUUCUUGACGCUGAGGCGCGAAAGCUAGGGGAGCAAACGGG
rnacentral:rRNA from 1 species